CCUACGGGGGGUUGCAGUGGGGAAUAUUGGACAAUGGGCGAAAGCCUGAUCCAGCCAUGCCGCGUGUGUGAAGAAGGCCUUCGGGUUGUAAAGCACUUUCAGUGGGGAAGAAAGCCUUGGGGCUAAUACCCUCGAGGAAGGACAUCACCCACAGAAGAAGCACCGGCUAACUCCGUGCCAGCAGCCGCGGUAAUACGGAGGGUGCGAGCGUUAAUCGGAAUUACUGGGCGUAAAGCGCGCGUAGGCGGUCUGAUAAGCCGGUUGUGAAAGCCCCGGGCUCAACCUGGGAACGGCAUCCGGAACUGUCAGGCUAGAGUGCAGGAGAGGAAGGUAGAAUUCCCGGUGUAGCGGUGAAAUGCGUAGAGAUCGGGAGGAAUACCAGUGGCGAAGGCGGCCUUCUGGACUGACACUGACGCUGAGGUGCGAAAGCGUGGGUAGCAAACAGGAUUAGAUACCCGAGUGUC
rnacentral:rRNA from 1 species